GACGAGCGCUGGCGGCGUGCUUAACACAUGCAAGUCGAACGGAAAGGCCCUGCUUUUUUGGUAUGCUCGAGUGGCGAACGGGUGAGUAACACGUGAGUAACCUGCCCUUGACUUUGGGAUAACUUCAGGAAACUGGGGGUAAUACCGGAUAGGAGCUCCUGCUGCAUGGUGGGGGGUGGAAAGUUUCGGCGGUUGGGGAUGGACUCGCGGCUUAUCAGCUUGGUGGUGGGGUAGGGGCUUACCAAGGCUUUGACGGGUAGCCGGCCUGAGAGGGUGACCGGCCACGUUGGGACUGAGAUACGGCACAGCCUCCUCCGGGAGGCAGCAGUGGGGAAUAUUGCACAAUGGGAGGAAGCCUGAUGCAGCCACGCCGCGUGCGGGAUGACGGCCUUCGGGUUGUAACCCGAUUCCGCCUGUGACGAAGCGUGAGUGACGGUAAUGGGUAAAGAAGCACCGGCUAACUACGUG
rnacentral:rRNA from 1 species